CCUACGGGAGGCAGCAGUGGGGAAUAUUGGGCAAUGGGCGCAAGCCUGACCCAGCAACGCCGCGUGAAUGAAGAAGGCCCUCGGGUUGUAAACUUCUUUUGUCAGGGACGAAACAAAUGACGGUACCUGACGAAUAACCCACGUCUAACUACGUGCCAGCAGCCGCGGUAAUACGUAGGUGGCAAGCGUUAUCCGGAUUUACUGGGUGUAAAGGGCGUGUAGGCGGGAGAGCAAGUCAGAUGUGAAAUUCCAGGGCUCAACCCUGGAACUGCAUUUGAAACUGUUUUUCGUGAGUGAUGGAGAGGCAGGCGGAAUUCCGGGUGUAGCGGUGAAAUGCGUAGAUAUACGGAGGAACACCAGUGGCGAAGGUGGCCUGCUGGACAUUAACUGACGCUGAGGCGCGAAAGCGUGGGGAGCAAACAGGAUUAGAUACCCUUGUAGUC
rnacentral:rRNA from 1 species